UCCGCAUCUGCUUCAGGAAGGUGGACUUGCCGCUCUCGCCCGCGCCCAGCAGCAGGAUCUUCACGAGCCGCUUCACCGGCCUCACCAGGAGCACCCAGCAUUCGCCUCCCUGUUCUUGGACACAGGGAGAAGCUGAUGGGAGGACAUGCUUAAAUAAAAAUUUCUCAAAGCCCCACUCACCAUGGCCAUUUGCAGUCAGGCCUGGAAACUCCCUCAUUUGAAGCUUAAGGUAGUGCUCUGUUUGAUCCCCCCAAAUGGGCCUAGUGCUCAGAAUGCUUGUAUGUAUGAAGACAAACCAGAGGCCGGCUAAGCUGCACUUAGCCUCCUGCGUUGUGGUGUCCAGAAGUUCCCUUUGUCUGUUGUUUGGGCUGUUUUCCCCGCCCCCUGCGAGCUAGCUGCCAUCUUGAAGUCCCCCAUCUGUUGGGCUGAUUCUACUAAGAUGUUUCCGACUCUGCACUGGGAGCUGAGAAGCUGCUUGUAAAGUGUUCCAGGUGGCUGAUGGAGCCGAGCGUGGGGCACUAUCUCCCAGCCUCUGAAAGGGAACCAUGAGCUGCUGCUGACCAGCUGGGACCUGAGCGUGUUGGAAGUCAGAAGCUGGUGCCCUUUUUGUAGACACACACCAGGACCUCUAAAUGCUUACUUACAUCUUUCCUGCUGCAUCAGACCUGCUUCUGGGCAAUCUGCUGGGUAACACCGCGCUCAAGGCUGCGUCUGUUCACCUGGUACUCUUUCUGAGACGCUGAAAACACUUCCCCUACCAUUACCACUUUUAAAGCCAGAGAAUGCUGGAUUAACGAGCCUGGACCUGCCACUUCCAGCAAGCACACUCUUAGCAGGCUGGCUCUGGCUACAGGGUAGCCUCACAGGCCGUGGCCUGCAGAACUGGCCUUUACCUCAUAUAAAGUGCCAGGAAACACCAGCUGAUGGACUCUAUCAUUGGACAGCAAAGGCUCCCCUAGGGCUUCUCAGAAGUGAUCCAGGGGCCCACGUGGCCUUUGUCAGGCUGUCGCAGACUGGCUCCAGAGCACAUAAUGUCAUCAGCUUGUCUCUCUCCGCAUUCCUGCAUCAGCUGCUGAAAAGAAGAAAAGCAAGCUCGUGGAAGAAUUCUGGGAAAGGCUGCACCUCCAGAGUCGGAACGACAUCCUGGAGGGCUGAGAAGGCUCUCCUGGCUGUGCCGGACCCUUGCAGGGAGAUAAGAGGCCGAAACAGGAGCCAGGAGAAGUGGCUCGGUGUGUGCCUGGCAACCGCGUCAUUCUGACUGCUUGCACUGUAGUAGGCAGAGUUCCCUGAAGUAGCGAGCUUUGCUUAAAUUGGUGGUGGGAACCCCAACGGGAUCUGUUUCCGGUUGCCUGGUAACGAGAAGACAGUCCAUGGCGAUGCGGGGCCAUCCUGCAUCAGCUGAAGAAGGGCGGGCUGUAUUAGAAGCCAUCGGUGGCCUCAGGAGCCACCUUGUCACCAGAGA